AGCUCAGGUGCAUGCAAUGUACCUGAGUGAUCAGGAGGGGUGGAGCCAGGAUCCACACCUUCCCAGACCUCAUUUAAGGGUUGGCAGGGGGAGGUAAAGGUAUCUUCUUGGAGCUUCUUGUGUACCUGAGGUCUUCUGAGGGGUAUUAGUCAAUAAUGUGUCAAAGAGGCCCUAAAACAUGCUCAGGAGCCUGUGCACAGAUUCCUUGUGCUCAGGAGAGCACCACAAAACCAGCAGGAGCUGGAGGAUGCAGCUAUGGAGAGCCCUGUGCACUUGACCACAGUAGAGCCAUCCUCUGGGUCCAUGCCUGAAAGAGCUACUCAAAAACUGCAGAUAGGACAGGGAAAGCAAAGGGAAGUGUGUGCUGCCCCAGGCAUGGAGGUUAAGAGAGCACUGAGAGCUUGCAUCAACCUGGAGACACCUCCUGAUGUCAGGUUGUGCUGUGCAAAGCCUGCUGACCCCUGGCACGUUGUGUGUAUAUCUGCAAGGCCCUUACACGGCGUGGAUGGCCGAGGCCCAGGCUGGCCCUGGAGCCACAUCCAUGCUCUGCUAGAGGGCUGCCCAAAGGCUGGUUUCUCUUCCUUGCUGGAAGGAAGCCCAAUCUGGAAGUGGAAUUAUGUUUCUCAGCUCCCUUCUUUAAAACACCUGUGCUUUUUUAGAGCUUAGAACCUGCAUAGCAAUUCCCCCUCAUUUUCCAGCAGGAGGCACAAAGGCAAAUCCAAAGCCAGAUGCAUUGCUCCCUGUGCUCCCCAGACCAGCCAGGUGCAGCCUGAGGGAUGCCAGGCUACACACCUGCCCCCGUACCAUAGCUGCCCAUGCCCUGAAUUAUUGACCAACAGCCCCUGCCCUGGGGACUGUUCUGCAGCUGUGACCUUGCACUCAACCCCAGCAUCUCACACACCUUCCACCAGUGCCAUAAAGCCCUUGAGGGAGGAGAGCCAUGCACCAUUCAGCGCGUGGGAGCACCAGCAUGUUGAGACCAGAGAAAUGAGGUGAAUUUCUACUCUGAAAACAAGAGAGGAUAAAAAGCUUCCCCCACCCCUUAAGGACUGGCAUGUCCUUGGUUCUUCCCAAACACACGUGUGGGAGAACAAGAACAGGCUCUUUCCAGGACAUCGCAGUGCUCUCUGGUUACAGAGCUGUGGCAGCUCCUCUGGGCCAAGUGCCACCUGGAAGGACACAUUGUUUGAAAGACAAGGCUGUACUCAGGCAGCACAUCACGGCUUCAACCCCACCAGGAGCGCAGUAACAGGGAAGCCUUGCUGGAUGCUGGAGAGACUUUCCUGAGCAGGCUAGUUCUCAUUCUACAGGGCACAUAACUUCCCUGUCAGCUCACAUGCACCUGCAAAUGAAAAGGUUUAAGAUCUGGCCAAGACGACAACACCAGGUGCUCACCUAGCCCUGCUCCUGCCUGCUAUUUUGAGCAAAUCUGGAUGGACAUCAGAAUACUCUCAGAUUUUGGUGAAGAGUGGUCACUGGGAAAAAGACCCACCUUGCAGAUUCUCUUUCAAAAUCAAGUGCUCAUCUGCUAACGAGUCCCUGGAGGGCAGCUGAACUGAGCCCGGAGACUUCAGGCUUUGGAGGAGAGGAGUUCAGGGCCAUCCAGAAGCUGAGGCAGCAACCCAAGGCCCAAAUCCUUGUUCUGGGAGGAAGGUGUUAGAGCGCAUUUUUUCCCCCAGAAAUAUGCAUGUUCAACCACAAAGGAAAGAGAAGUGUCCCAGAGCAGCUCUUGGGCCGCUGCGGAGUUUGUGCUGAGCUGCUGAAGCAACAAAAAAACAUCUUUAGGCAAUGAGACCGAUAGUUUCUAGGAGGGCAUGCACCUCCUGCAUCUGCUGGAAUCCCUAUCCCCAGCUGACCUCUGCGAGCUCCCAGGGCACAGACAACCACUGCUAUUUCAGCCCCACAAUCACAGAUCUGCUGCCUGACCUCCUUCUCUAAAUCUUUAUAUCAGAUUUCUCGCUCUAGAGACGUGACUCAAUGUGUUGGCAUAAGGCAAUACGCCAGAAUGCUACUCAUGUGCCUCUCCUCUUUAUCCUACCCAUCCUGCUAAGCGUUUAAUUGAAAUAGCAGAAAAUGAGCAGCGCUUGGCUGCUGCAGGAAAGCAGGCAGAGGCUGCGCAGCCCUCCUCAAGACAGAAGAGAGAUGUGAUUGAAACCUUUGUCUAGGUACUUCUCACACUGGCAAUCCCAAAGGAAGCACAGGAAAACUUCACAGCCACCAGCCCCUUAGACUUGUCCCAGCUCUCCGCUGGAGCUAACUGUCCCACCAGGGCGGUGAUGUACAGAGAGCCAGGGGAAGGCACAGGUAAUUUUCCAGCCAAGACACAGACUCCUGCAGAGGGGUGAACUCAGAUGACCACAGACCUGCUGCCACUGAUUCCUACAGAUCUGCAGAGCAUAGAUCAGGAUCCUGUCAUUAUGGGAUGGCAAUCAGCUGGUGAAGCAGCAGGACACAGCCUGGAGAUAGGAAGGCUCGGUACUUGGAGAGGAACUCAGGCACUGCCACCUCCCUGCAGAGGACCACAGCGGAUCCCUACGGAGCUGUGCACCGGGGGACCAGGUCUGUGAUGGAUUCAUGCAUGCAACCAAGAGCUUGCAAAGUGAGAAGUCAAACCUUUACAUUCAGCCUGGGCAGGACGGGGAACAGAAACUCAACUGCUAAAAUGUCACUCGAUACCUAAAGCCACAUCGGUGCUGCAAAUACUGACAGAAGUUCAAUGCUUGCUCAAUGGAGCCCUUAUGGCAGCGAGGGCUGGGGGCUGUGCCUCGGCGAUCAAUUUGCUUCUGUUUGGGCCCAAAGUGGGGAAAACACAGUGGCAGGAGGUACAGACUGGCUGCAGGAGCCACUCAGCCUGCAGCACAGCUGGAGGAGCCCAUGGGGUGUGUGGCACAAAGGGGCCUCUUUCUGCAGGAGCAGCUGAUUUUUAUAUGUUCCUUUAUGAGCGCCACUCAAUCAUUUCUGUUGUGAUUUUUCCAGGUUUAUUCAGUGAUGGUAGAGCCCAUCUGGAGCUCACGCGUGCUUAUCGCUGCCUCUCGCUGUGUUUCAACCCCAUUCACCCCGCGUUUGUAAAGGGCACUUUAUGAGCGCUGAGUUUUGAACGAGGCAGGCACGCUGCUCGGAAAGCAGACAAAGGGGCCCCUAUUGGAAACUUUUAAAAUGUUCAAACAAAGGCUUCUCCUGAAAACCUUCAACCCCUAGUGCCAACCUCCAGGCAAAUGCUGCGCUAGGAGCGCUCGGAGCAUGCACGUCUCUUCUGACUGCACGCUGCCCGCAACAGGCAGUGGCAUUGGCUGCAUCUUCUUGUGGCUACCGUUGCCAACAGGAGUAAUUCCCAAGCCCAACUUGCACUAAUAUCACAACAUUUAGUUAAUGCUUGAGGGGGGGGAAGUUAGAACUCCUGCAGAAAUGAACAACAGCUUUCUCCCGAUGGACGCAGCAGAACUCUGCUUUGAUGGGAAGUGCCAUUUUACUACAAACACAGUGGUCCCUCGCAUGCCUUCCAGAUGGGAAUUUGUCUUCCAGACGAGGCCAGAUUUAUCCCAGGAGUUGACUCCGCUCUUCGCGCUGCCAAGUCCUGGUGGCAAAUAGCAGGGCUGAGAUCUGAGAGCAGAUUUCUCCCCACACGCAGGCUUUCUGCCUGGCUCGGAUGCCAAUCUAAUGAUAUUCCCUAAACAGAUGGCAAGAAUCUGCUUGCGGGAUACGCUUUCUACUUGUUACUCAGAGCCUCCAAGCUGGCAGCCUGCGAUUGACAGCUCCUGUUCUCAGGAAAACAACAGAUAAGGAAGAUUUUGUUGUUGUUGCUAUCAAGAGAUACUCCAAAGGGUCCCACCGGGAGGACCUCAGAGUAACUCUGUACGCAAUCAGGGCUUGACAGAGGCAAAAAUUCUGCGGGCUUAUGUAGGAGAGGCAGAACAGUGAAUGGGCUCCUGUCUUGGAGCCCGCUCCCCCCUCCACCGGUCCCACAAGAGGUGGUGGAUUCCUUUCAAGUGGCAGAGCCCUGCUUCCUUCCUCUCACCCAUACCAGCUCCUGCCUGCAGGGCGAUCCGGGAGCUCUGCACCCCUCAUCCCUCGUUCUGCUGCAGGGAAAGCCCCCAACAGAGCACAUGCCAUCGCACUGCGUUACCUGCUCGGAUGGCUGCGUGUCAGCGCAAAAUACUCUGCUUUUCCAAACAAGUUUUCCUGUGUAAUUGCUUGUAGCAAAUAUGCCCGAAGCUAUUUUUUUCCCUGUGAAAUGGUUGGAGUUAUAAGGCAAAGGUGGGUGAUGGCUUGUGCCAACAUAUAUAUGGGUAUGCACAAACACAUUCAGGGUAUGCACAAGCCCAGCCUUCUACGCGGAAAUGGGGCAGAAUCAACUUCUGCCCCACUUCUAAGCUUAUCGUUUGGCAGGAUUUCACUCUCCUAGUGCGCAGCACGCUUUGCUAA